AUGCCCUUGGUGCAAAGGUAGCAUAGCGGUUUCCAAAUCCGUUGAUGUAGGUUCAAGACCUGCAGGACAUG
rnacentral:tRNA from 1 species